UAGGACGUGGGAUGUUUCUGGCCAUUGAUAGGCCCUUGAAUAAACAUUUAUUUCCCUGAAAAAAACCAUGGGGAGAGUUAUUGCAUAAGCACCCCUGGGAAAACGGGUCAUUUAGUUUCCCAAGUGAGCUUUAAUUUUUACGUGAAGCACUUUGGCUGGCUGUUGUUCUAAUACUAGCUGGGCAGCAGAGAGGUCUCUGGUUUGCUCUACAGUAUGACAUCUGCACUGCAGGCUUGGAAAAGGAUGUCUGUCUGUUACUCUGUGGCCUCAGGAACCACUGAACUUUGCCUUGGACAGGCAGUGAAUGGCAAGGGAGUGGCUCAAAUUCUUCACAUUGCCCCUGCUCUGCCUGCACCCCCACCCCCACCCCAGGCAAGCGGUUUCUACAGGAUUAUGUCAUUUUUGGUGGAAAGGAUCAAAGAAGUGGAAGGUGGAAAAUCAAUGGAAAGAGUGGAGAGCGCUGAUGCGAAAAGAGCAAGAGCCAGACAAGAAUACCGGGAGAGAGAAGAACAAAGCUUUUCCCUCUCUGCUUCUGGAAUGUAAAUAUUAUCUCAGUUUGAAGAUAGAAGAGGGGCAAAGAACAACAGAUGCUUUCAUUCAACAGUACUUACCAAGUGGCCACUUUGAAUUAGGCCCAUAUGAAUCCAGUUAAAGCACCAUCAGGGGCUGCCAAAACUAGAAGAUCCCAGAUGUCCUGGUGCAGGAGGUGGUGAGUGUGGAUUAUGCGGAUUUGGGAGGGUGCUAGGAAGGAAGAACCCAGCUGGGGGUGGGGAUUGCCUUGUUGAAAGGUAGUGGAAGUGUCAGCCACAAAGCCCUGGCAGUUUGGGAGAAGGUGCCCUGGUGCCCCUGGGGCUCAUCUUUUCCCCAGCACAGGGUGCAAUGCACAAAGGCCCUCUGUGUCUAGCCUCAGGCUCCACUUCUGCCUCUCAGCCAAGCCCUCCAGUUUGGGGAGAAGCCAUUACAGCAGCUGGGCGGAAAAGAGCAGCCUCUGCUGGGGAGAGGGUGCCCGCCUGGAGAAAGAGGCUGCGGUGGCCCUUGUGGCUCAGCCCCUGUACUAGGAAGAGCAGCUUGCUGGAAUGCAGAUUCCUUUAGCCCCAGAGAACAAAAACCCAGGCAUGUAUGAAGCACAGAUGCUCACUGUCUCAGCUUCUUCUGCUUUUAUCGCCCCACCUUUUUUGAAAAAGCGUUAAAAUAAAAGUACAAAAUAAUGGCAGUGGGGCAAAACCCUUGAUUUUUUUUAGUGCAUUGUACCUAUACAUGCGCUACUACUUUGCCCUUGUUUCAAGGGGCAGCGUUCUUAGUGGCCUUUGAGAGGAAAUUUUAACAGGAUAUUUCUUCUCCUUUCAAAUCGUUCUGGCUACUGUACCC
rnacentral:lncRNA from 9 species